GAGUAUUUCUUUUGGGUUCUUGCCUACUGGUGCUGGAGCAGCCCAUCCGCCUGGGCUUUUCCAGAGGAUAAUGCUUUUGGUGAUGCUCCUAGCAGAGGUACUCUGUGAAGAUGAAGCCCUUAAGCCAACACCAGGAAAAGAUCACUUGUUUCUCCCACCCCAAUGAGGUGUUCCAAGUGCAGCGGAUGGGUCAAGCUCAGGCCAGUUGACAGCCUCCCUCUCACCUCAGGGACUGCUGCUCAGCAAAUUCUACAGACCAGCCUGUUUCACUCCACUAAUAGCAUUCACUGAAGGUGUUGAAGGGGGAAGCGACAGUCUCUGCCAUAAGUUUCCAUGCUCUUGUGGUGGUGUUUGAGCUCACAGCAACAGAAAGGAGCUGCCAGCGCUGGAGCCACUUGUUUCUCCUGUCCAGCCCAUAUCUGCAAAGUGGGUAGCACUGCAAGUAGUAGUAAGCAAGUAUGACAUGAUGCUUUGCUGUUCCUCAUUCCCUUUAGUGUGUGGAUACAACCCAGAGCACUGACUGAUGCCCUCAGGCAGGCGUUAACUUGGUAGACGCAUACACCUUGCUGCCAAGAAACCAUUUAUAAAUAGAUUUUAUUUAUAAAGUCAAUUUACAUAAAAUAUGAUACUCUUUUUAAAAACUGCAUAUGUACGACUUAAGAAAUCCUAGCAAGUGCAUACAAAAAUGCCUUCAAUGCAUUUAAAAAACAAAACAACAACAA